GAACGCGCGGAUCAGGAGCUUGCUCCUGUGACGCGAGUGGCGGACGGGUGAGUAACACGUAGGCAACCUGCCCAUCAGACUGGGAUAACCACGGGAAACCGUGGCUAAUACCGGAUAAUCCUUUCCCACACAAGUGGGGGAGUUGAAAGGCGGCUUCGGCUGUCACUGAUGGAUGGGCCUGCGGCGCAUUAGCUGGUUGGUGGGGUAACGGCCCACCAAGGCGACGAUGCGUAGCCGACCUGAGAGGGUGAUCGGCCACACUGGGACUGAGACACGGCCCAGACUCCUACGGGAGGCAGCAGUAGGGAAUCUUCCGCAAUGGACGAAAGUCUGACGGAGCAACGCCGCGUGAGUGAAGAAGGGUUUCGGCUCGUAAAACUCUGUUGUCAGGGAAGAAUGCCGACGGGAGUAACUGCCCGUCGGGUGACGGUACCUGACCAGAAAGCCACGGCUAACUACGUGCCAGCAGCCGCGGUAAUACGUAGGUGGCAAGCGUUAUCCGAAAUUAUUGGGCGUAAAGCGCGCG
rnacentral:rRNA from 1 species